ACCUGCAUUCGCAAGGGCUGGAGGUCUCACCUGUGACCCGGUGGCUGAUAAUGCAGGGAGAGGAGCUCCGAAAGCGUUUCCCAUGUUUGGGUUCGAUCCCAUCGCUCCGAAACCUUGUAGCCUUCAGACA
rfam:Gavia stellata contig61555, whole genome shotgun sequence.